rnacentral:rRNA from 1 species
AGCGAACGCUGGCGGCAGGCCUAACACAUGCAAGUCGAACGAAGUCUUCGGACCUAGUGGCGGACGGGUGAGUAACACGUGGGAACGUACCUUUUGGUUCGGAACAACUCAGGGAAACUUGAGCUAAUACCGGAUGAGCCCUUAGGGGGAAAGAUUUAUCGCCGAAAGAGCGGCUCGCGUUAGAUUAGCUAGUUGGUGAGGUAAAGGCUCACCAAGGCUACGAUCUAUAGCUGGUCUGAGAGGAUGAUCAGCCACACUGGGACUGAGACACGGCCCAGACUCCUACGGGAGGCAGCAGUGGGGAAUCUUGCGCAAUGGGCGAAAGCCUGACGCAGCCAUGCCGCGUGAAUGAUGAAGGUCUUAGGAUUGUAAAAUUCUUUUACCAGGGACGAUAAUGACGGUACCUGGAGAAAAAGCCCCGGCUAACUUCGUGCCAGCAGCCGCCGUAACAC